rnacentral:rRNA from 1 species
AUUGAACGCUGGCGGCAGGCCUAACACAUGCAAGUCGAGCGAGCGGCGGACGGGUGAGUACUGUAUGGGGACUGCCCGAUAUGGGGGGAUAACUACUGGAAACGGUAGCUAAUACCGCAUACUAUCGUGUAACCCAUAUUGGAUUAGCUAGUAGGUGAGGUAAUGGCUCACCUAGGCGACGAGCCCUAGCUGGUCUGAUAGGAUGAUCAGCCACACUGGGACUGAGACACGGCCCAGACUCCUACGGAGGCAGAAGUGGGGAAUAUUGCAAAAUGGGCGCAAGCCUGAUGCAGCAAUGCCGCGGGUAUGAAGAAGGCCCUAGGGUUGUAAAGUACUUUCAGUCGGGAGGCGUUACCGACAGAAGAAGCACCGGCGAACUCCGUGCCAGCAGCCGCGGUAAUAC